rnacentral:rRNA from 1 species
AAUCAUGGCUCAGGAUGAACGCUAGCGGCAGGCUUAACACAUGCAAGUCGAGGGGCAGCGCGGGGCGGCAACGUCCUGGCGGCGACCGGCGGAAGGGUGCGUAACGCGUGAGCGACAUGCCCGUUGCCCGGGGACAACCGGUGGAAACGCCGACUAAUACCCGAUGGGACGGAGGCCCUCAUGGGUCUCUGUUGAAAGUUACGGCGGCGACGGAUUGGCUCGCGUCCGAUUAGCUUGUUGGCGGGGUAACGGCCCACCAAGG